GUGUCAGCCGCCGCGGUAAUACAGAGGGGGCAAGCGUUAUUCGGAAUUAUUGGGCGUAAAGGGCGCGUAGGCGGCUUUGCAAGUGGCGGGUGAAAUCCCUCGGCUUAACCGAGGAACUGCCUGCCAGACUGCGAGGCUUGAGACCGGGAGAGGUGAGUGGAAUUCCCAGUGUAGCGGUGAAAUGCGUAGAUAUUGGGAGGAACACCAGUGGCGAAGGCGGCUCACUGGACCGGAACUGACGCUGAGGCGCGAAAGCGUGGGGAGCAAACAGGAUUAGAAACCCCCGUAGUCC
rnacentral:rRNA from 1 species